rnacentral:tRNA from 1 species
GCUUGGCUGGCUCAGUCAGUAGAGCUUAUGACUCUUGAUCUUGGGAUUGUGAGUUCAAGCCCCACACUGGGCA